rnacentral:rRNA from 1 species
UACGGGGGGGGCAAGCGUUGUUCGGAAUUACUGGGCGUAAAGGGCUCGUAGGCGGCCAACUAAGUCAGACGUGAAAUCCCCAGGCUCAACCUGGGAACUGCGUCUGAUACUGGAUGGCUUGAAUCCGGGAGAGGGAUGCAGAAUUCCAGGUGUAGCGGUGAAAUGCGUAGAUAUCAGGAGGAGCACCUGUGGUGUAGACAGCUUACUGGACCAUAACUGACGCUGAGGCACGAAAGCGUGGGUAGCAAACAGG